rnacentral:rRNA from 1 species
ACGCUCGACACCUACGGGAGCAGCAGUAGGGAAUCUUCCACAAUGGACGCAAGUCUGAUGGAGCAACGCCGCGUGAGUGAAGAAGGUCUUCGGAUCGUAAAACUCUGUUGUUAGAGAAGAACACGAGUGAGAGUAACUGUUCAUUCGAUGACGGUAUCUAACCAGCAAGUCACGGCUAACUACGUGCCAGUAGCCGCGGUAAUCUGAGCGGGCUGGCAAGGC